CAGCAGCCACGGUAAUACGUAGGUGGCAAGCGUUGUCCGGAAUUAUUGGGCGUAAAGGGCUCGCAGGCGGUUUCUUAAGUCUAAUGUGAAAGCCCCCGGCUCAACCGGGGAGGGUCAUUGGAAACUGGGAAACUUGAGUGCAGAAGAAGAGAGUGGAAUUCCACGUGUAGCGGUGAAAUGCGUAGAGAUGUGGAGGAACACCAGUGGCGAAGGCGACUCUCUGGUCUGUAACUGACGCUGAGGAGCGAAAGCGUGGGGAGCGAACAGGAUUAGAUACCCCAGUAGUCCUUGUCUCUUAUAC
rnacentral:rRNA from 1 species